UACGUGGGGGGCAAGCGUUGUUCGGAAUUACUGGGCGUAAAGGGCUCGUAGGCGGCCAACUAAGUCGGACGUGAAAUCCCUCGGCUUAACCGAGGAACUGCGUCCGAUACUGGAUGGCUUGAGUUCGGGAGAGGGAUGCGGAAUUCCAGGUGUAGCGGUGAAAUGCGUAGAUAUCUGGAGGAACACCGGUGGCGAAGGCGGCAUCCUGGACCGAUACUGACGCUGAGGAGCGAAAGCGUGGGGAGCAAACAGG
rnacentral:rRNA from 1 species